rnacentral:ncRNA from 1 species
GACCCCAGAAAAGGUGUUGGUUGAUAGCGACAGCAGGUCGGCUGCCAUGGAAGUGGGAAUCCUCUAAGGAGUGUGCAACAACUCACCUGCUGAAUCAACUAGCCCUGAAAAUGAAUGGCGCUGAAGCGUCGGGCCCAUACCCAGCCCUUGCUGGCGGUCGGUCAGAGACAGGAAGACCGGAGCAAACCGGGCGGCACUUUGGCGGCGCCCAGCCCACACCCCCGCCAAGCUACACCACGACGAGUAGGAGGGCCGCUGCGGUGAGCCUUGAAGCCUAGGGCGCGGGCCCGG